rnacentral:lncRNA from 1 species
CUCCACUGUGAGAAAAACCCCAGCCACAUCUCCAGCACACAAGAACUUCCAAACGCCUGAACCGCAGCAGCCAGGCAUUCCUCCAGAACCUCCUCCCAUAGGAGCUUGCUACACAUGCCAGAAAUCUGGCCACUGGGCCAAGGAAUGCCCACAGCCCGGGAUUCCUCCUAAGCCGUGUCCCAUCUGUGUGGGACCCCACUGAAAAUCGGACUGUUCAACUCACCUGGCAGCCACUCGCAGAGCCCCUGGAACUCUGGCCCAAGCCUCUCUGACUGACUCCUUCGCAGAUCUUCUUGGCUUAGCGGCUGAAGACUGACACUGCCGGAUCGCCUCGGAAGCCCCCUAGACCACCACGGAUGCUGAGCUUCGGGUAACUCUCACAGUGGAAAGUAAGCCCGUCCCCUUCUUCAUCAAUACAGAGGCUACCCACUCCACAUUACCUUCUUUUCAAGGGCUGUUUCCCUUGCCUCCAUAACUGUUGUGGGUAUUGACGGCCAGGCUUCUAAACCUCUUAAAACUCCCCAAUUCUUCCAUUCUGUCAGACAUAAUUCCUCAGUUUAGCCUUCCCACCUCAAUACAGUCUGAUAACAGAUCAGCCUUUAUUAGUCAAAUCAGCCAAGCAGUUUUUCAGGCUCUGAGUAUUCAGUGAAACCUUUAUAUCCCUUAUGGUCCUCCAUCUUCAAGAAAAGUAGAAUGGACUAAAGGUCUUUUAAAAACACUCCUCACCAAGCUCAGCCACCAACUUAAAAAGGACUGGACAAUACUUUUACCACUUUCCCUUCUCAGAAUUCAGGCCUGUCCUCGGAAUGCUACAGGGUACAGCCCAUUUAAGCUCCUGUAUAGAUGCUCCUUUUUAUUAGGCCCCAGUCUCAUUCCAGACACCAGACCAACUUAGACUGUGCCCCAAAAAAAACUUGUCAUCCCUACUAUUUUCUGUCUAGUCAUCCUCCUAUUCACCGUUCUCAACUACUCAUACAUGCCUUGCUCUUGUUUACACUGCCGGUUUACACUGUUUUUCCAAGCCAUCACAGCUGAUAUCUCCUGGUGCUAUCCCCAAACUGUCACUAUUAACUCUUGAAGUAAAUAAAUAAUCUUUGCUGGCAGGACUAUGCUGAAUCUCCUUAGGCACUCUCUAAUCAGAUAUCCUGAGUCGUCCCAAUUCUUAGACCUUUUAUACCUGUUUUUCUCCUUCUGUUAUUCCAUUUAGUUUCUCAAUUCAUCCAAAACCGUAUCUAGGCCAUCACCAAUCAUUCUAUAUGACAAAUGUUUCUUCUAACAUCCCCACAAUAUCACCCCUUACCACAAGACCUCCCUUCAGCUUAAUCUCUCCCACUCUAGGUUCCCACGCCGACCCUAAUCCCACUUGAAGCAUAUUGCUCACACAAAGCCUGUUUGGUGGUCUCUUCACAUGGACGUGCAUGAAAUUUGGUGCCGUGACUCAGAUCGGGGGACCUCCCUUGGGAGAUCAAUCCCCUGUCCUCCUGUUGUUUGCUCCAUGAGAAAGAUCCACCUACGACCUCAGGUCCUCAGACUGACCAGCCCAAGGAACAUCUCACCAAUUUUAAAUCAGGUAAGCGGCCUCUUCUUACUCUCUUCUCCAACCUCUCUCACUGUCCCUCAACCAUUUUCUCCUUUCCACUCUUCAAUCUCUCCCUUCUCUUAAUUUCAAUUCCCUUCAUUUUCUGGGAGAGACAAAGGAGACACGUUUUAUCCGUGGACCCAAAACUCCAGCACCGGUCACGGACUAGGAAGGCAGACUUCCCUUGGUGUUUAAUCAUUGCAAGGACACCUCUCUGAUUAUUCAUCCACAUUUCAAAGGUGUCAGACCACGCAGGGAUGCCUGCCGUGGUCCUUCACCCUUAGCGACAAGUCCCGCUUUUCUGGGAAAGGGGCAAGUACCCCAACCCCUUCUCUCCUUGUCUCUACCCCUUCUCUGCUUUUCUGGGGGAGGGGCAAGUACCCCUCAACCCCUUCUCCUUCAACCUUAGUGGCAAGUCCCGCUUUUCUGGGGGAGGGGCAAGUACCCCUCAACCCCUUCUCCUUCACUCUUAGUGGCAAGUCCCACUUUUCUAGAGGAGGGGGCAAGUACCCCAACCUCAUAUCUCUGUGCUCCAAUCCCUUAUUUCCAUGCCGCGACCCCUUAUUUCCGUGCCCCGACCCCUUAUUUCCAUGCCCCGACCCCUUAUUUCCAUGCCCCAUCCCUUAUUUCUAUGCCUCAACCUCUUAUCUCUGUGCCCCAACCCCUUUUCCCACUUUUCUGGAAGGUAAGAACCCCCAAACCCCUUCCCUCCAUUUCUCUACUCUCUCUUUUCUCUAGGCUUGCUUCCUUCACUAUAGGCAACUUUCCACCCUCCAUUCCUCCUUCUACUCCCUUGGCCUGUGUUCUCAAAAACUUAAAACCUCUUCAACUCACAUCUGACCUAAAACCUAAAUGCCUUAUUUUCUUCUGCAAUGCCGCUUGACCCCAGUACAAACUUGACAGUAGUUCCAAAUAGCCAGAAAAUGGCACUUUGAAUUUUUCCAUCCUGCAAGAUCUAAAUAAUUCUUGUCAUAAAAUAGGUAAACGGUCUGAGGUGCCUGACGUCCAGGCAUUCUUUUACACAUUAGUCACUUCCUAGUCUCUGUGCCCAGUGCAACUCGUCCCAAAUCUUCCUUCUUUCCCUCCCACCUGUCCCCUCAGUACCAACCCCAAGCAUUGCUGAGUCUUUCUAAUCUUCCUUUUCUGCAGACCCAUCUGACCUCUCCCUUCCUCCCCAGGCUGCUCCUUGCCAGGCUGAGCUAGGUCCCAAUUCUUCCUCAGCCUCUGCUCCUCCAUGCUAUAAUCUUUUUAUCACCUCCCCUCCUCACACUGGGUCCUGCUUACAGUUUCGUUACGUGACUAGCCCUCCCCAUCCUGCCCAGCAAUUUACUCUUAAAAAAGUGGCUGGAGCUAAAGGCAUAGUCAAGGUUAAUGCUCCUUUUUCUUUAUCCCAAAUCAGAUAGGGUUUAGGCUCUUUUUCAUCAAAUAUAAAAACCCAGCCCAGUUCAUGACUUGUUUGGCAACAACCCUGAGACACUUUACAGCCCUAGACCCUAAAACGUCAAAAGGCCGUCUUAUUCUCAAAAUACAUUUUAUAAUUAAAUUCCGGCCCUCAAACCCCACAACAGGAUUUAAUUAACCUCGCCUUCAAGGUGUAUAAUAAUAGAAAAUAGUUGCAAUUCCUUGCCUCCACUGUGAGACAAACCCCAGCCACAUCUCCAGCACACAAGAACUUCCAAACGCCUGAACCGCAGCGGCCACGCGUUCCUCCAGAACCUCCUCCCACAGGAGCUUGCUACAUGUGCCGGGAAUCUGGCCACUGGGCCAAGGAAUGCCUGCAGCCCAGGAUUCCUCCUAAGCCGCGUCCCAUCUGUGUGGGACCCCACUGAAAAUCGGACUGUUCAACUCACCUGACUCCUUCCCAGAUCUUCUCGGCUUAGCGGCUGAAGACUGACACUGCCGGAUCACCUCGGAAGCCCCCUAGAACGUCACUGACGCCGAGCUUCAGGUAACUCUCACAGUGGAAGGUAAGCCCGUCCCCUUCUUAAUCAAUACGGAGGCUACCCACUCCACAUUACCCUCUUUUCAAGGGCCUGUUUCCCUUGCCUCCAUAACUGUUGUGGGUAUUGAUGGCCAAGCUUCUAAACCUCUUAAAACUCCCCAACUCUGGUGCCAACUUAGACAAUACUCUUUUAAGCACUCCUUUGUAGUUAUCCCCACCUGCCCAGUUCCCUGAUUAGGCUGAGACACUUUAACUAAAUUAUCUGCUUCCCUGACUAUUCCUGGACUACAGCUGUAUCUCAUUGCCGCCCUUCUUCCCAAUCCAAAGCCUCCUUUGCGUCCUCCUCUUGUAUUCCCCCACCUUAACCCACAAGUAUAAGAUACCUCUACUCCCUCCUUGGGGACUGAUCAUGCACCCCUUACCAUCUCAUUAAAACCUAAUCACCCUUACCCCACUCAACGCCAAUAUCCCAUCCCGCAGCAUGCUUUAAAAAGAUUAAAGCCUGUUAUCACUCGCCUGCUACAGCAUAGUCUUUUAAAGCCUAUAAACUCUCCUUACAAUUCCCCCAUUUUACCUGUCCUAAAACCAGACAAGCCUUACAAGUUAGUUCAGGACCUGCACAUUAUCAAUCAAAUUGUUUUGCCUAUCCACCCUGUGGUGCCCAACCCGUACACUCUUUUGUCCUGAAUACCUUCCUCCACAACUCACUAUUCCCUGCUUGAUCUUAAAGACGCUUUUUUCACUAUUCCCCUGCACCCCUCGUCCCAGCCUCUCUUUGCUUUCAUUUGGACUGACCUUGACACCAUCAAGCUCAGCAAACUACCUAGGCUGUACUGCCGCAAAGCUUCACAGACAGCCCCCAUUACUUCAAUCAAGCCCAAAUUUCUUCCUGAAGUGUAAAUGGCUGGUCCUUGCCUUAAGUGAUGACAUUACCUUGUGAAAGUCCUUUUCCUGGCUCAUCCUGGUUCAAAAAGCACCCCCACUGAGCACCUUGCAACCCCCACUCCUGCCUGCCAGAGAACAACCCCCCUUUGACUGUAAUUUUCCUUUACCUACCCAAAUCCUAUAAAAGCCCACCUGCACCCAGGUGAUUAAAAGCUUUAUUGCUCACACAAAGCCUGUUUGGUGGUCUCUUCACAGGGACACGCAUGAAAAAAAUGUGCUGGGAACAGGAGAUACCAGGUAGUUCUGCCCUCAGGGCCCACUCAUGGCAGGUAGUGGUAAGCCAAGCAUUCUGGACCUUGGGCCACCAGGUGGCAUAUGCAAGCACAGUUUUAGUGAGUGCAGGUGGGCAAAUUCUUGAGACUCCAGGCAGUCUUCCUGUAUGCUGGCAGUGGGAGUGGUAAGCCAGAUCCGUGGGUGAGUCCUUAGGCCCUUAAGCCGAAUGUAUGGCCUGGAUUAUGGUAGUAGUGAUGGCAGGAUAAUUUUGGGGCUCUCAUGUGGCACUCACUAAUGUUAGCUGUUGGUAUGAUGGGCUGAGCAAGCUGGUCCCCAGGUUCCUUGGUUGUGCAUGUGCAUGGAUGUAGUUGAUGGUAUUGAUGACAGGCUAUAUGGGCUCACCUUCAGGAUUCCAGAAGUAGGGUACAGAUGCUAGAGGUGGUAGAAGGGGUUGGGUAAUCCCCAGGUCCCUGGGAGGGGUGCUCAUGCUUUGGGUGGGGGAAGCAAUGGUGACAGGUCUGGUGGGCCUGAUCUCAGGGCAUCAGGGUGUGCAGAGCUCCAGGAGGUAGUAGGCAGGGCAGGCAGUCUGUGGUGUUGGUUGUGGAGAGCCUGACCUCUGGGCUGGUGCUAGAGUGUGGUGAUCCUGCUGUUGAGUAUGGGUGGGGUUGCUAUCAGUGGUCCCCUGCAGGGAGCUCUCAGGUUCUGAGGGGUGUACACUUUCAACUCUGGCAGUAGCAGUGUCCACAGUGGUGUGUGUGAAGAGCCUGCACUCAUGACAUGCACUAGAGCACAGAGGCCAUGCUUUUGAAGGGGGCAGGGUUGCUAUUCAGAGCCCCAAACAGGCACUUCUCAGUUUCUGGGUAGUGUUUGCUUUGUCUCCUGGCUGCAGUCAGUGACUGCUAUCAUGUUCAAAGGGGUCAGAUGGAUCCUGCCUUUCUGGGUGUGAACUCAAGCACAGAGGCUGUGUUGUUGGUGGGAAUGGGGUUACUAUUUGCAUCCUCAGACAGGCAGCUGUCAGGCUCACUCACUUUGGCUCCCCGUGGCAGCAGCACUAUUGUGAUAUGCAGAAAGGGGAAGGGAUCCAUUUUCACAUGAGCCCAAGUACUGAGAACAUACUGCUAAUAGGGAUGUGGUUACUGUUUACGAAAUCUAAUGGAAACUUAGAAAAAGAAUGAAAACUCUAUCCCUAGUUUUCUAAGGAACACAUAUGGCACAGAGACAGGACUGGCAGCAAACAAAGAUAAAUGAAGAGUCACCCUCAGUGAAAUCCUGACUGCUGCUUUAAGUUCUCUACCACAUUUUGGAUUUUAGUGUUAGGAUUAUUUCUGAAGGAGUCUUCUGAACCUCAUGUUACUUACAGGAAAAACAAUAGAAUUUGAUUUACAUAAAUGUCCUUCUCAAACCCUUUGAUCAAUGGUGCUCAAGUUCCAUUUUAUCUGUAUACCCAUAGUUAUUCAAUUGUUUAACUCAUUUUCUGAGCAACCAAGUUCUCAGUGCAGAGAACUCAAUUAUGUUGUUUGCUUUUCUGAUCCACCAUCUUCUGUGUGCACUCAUGAUAGGAUGAACAUGGGAUGAAAUCAUAUUUGUAAUGAAUUAUAGAAUGAUCCCUG